UACAGAGGUCUCAAGCGUUGUUCGGAUUCAUUGGGCGUAAAGGGUGUGUAGGUGGCGCGCUAAGUCGGGUGUGAAAUUUCGGAGCUUAACUCCGAAACUGCAUUCGAUACUGGCGUGCUUGAGGACUGGAGAGGAGACUGGAAUUCAUGGUGUAGCAGUGAAAUGCGUAGAGAUCACGAGGAACACCAGUGGCGAAGGCGAGUCCCUGGACAACACCUGACACUGAGGCACGAAAGCUAGGGGAGCAAACAGG
rnacentral:rRNA from 1 species